rnacentral:lncRNA from 1 species
CUCAAGCAAAGCAGCUCCCAGAAGCAGCGGCAUCUCCCCUCUCCGGCUCCUACACGGAGGCACAGCCAGGUGGCUUGGGGCGCUGCCCCAUCUGCAGGUGCCCUCCCUGCAGUUCCCAUUGGCCAUGGGAGCCCCUUGGCUGACCCUAUGCAUAGGAGCCAGAGGGGGGACAUACCGUAGCUUCCGGGAGCUGCGCAGAGCCACAGCACAUGCGGAGUGGGGCAAGCCCCUGGCUGGAGUGCCAGAGUGGAGCAAGCCUCGGACCCUGAUCCCCAGUAGGAGCUCGAGGGCUGGAUUAAAAUGUCUGAAGGGGCUCCCGGGCCAUAGUUUGCCUACCCCUGGAUUAAUGCAUUCUUACAUAAAUACACUGCUCUGUGUGUGUGUGUGUGUAUGUAUACGUGUGUGUAUGUGUAUAUAUACAUGCUAGCCAGCAUAUACUGAUCAACAGUUACGACCUGGAAAAGUGUUUGCUAUACCGCUUAACCAGCAUAUGUUUGUUAUUGUUCUCCAUCAUUGUAGACAUUAUUUGAGUGAACUAUUCCCCAAUUUCCUCAUGCAGGACUGGUGAGCAAUGUGGUCUUCACAAGUCAUACUACAGAGCAGAGACACCCACUCCUUGUACAACUUCAGAGCCUCAUACGAGCAGCAAAUCCUGCUGUUUCAUUUAUCUUGGCAGAAAAUGGCCUUGUAACUAGGUAAUACUAGCUUCCAGUUCUUUGAUUUUCAAGUUGCUGUUCUAAAAAUGGGAAACUCUCUUACAAGAAAAGCUGAUCCUCUUUGACUUUCACCUAUGAACAGAAAGUGGACUUAGUAUGUAAACCAGAAAAAUGCUUAUUUUUCUUAGUCAUUACUUCCCUGAUAACUUAUCUGUUCUUAGAAUUUUGACAUUUUAAGAAUGUCAUCUACACUUCAACCAGAUGUUCUGAUACAGCAUGAUACACUAAGGAUUUAAGUGUCAAAGGAAUACAUUAAAUGGCCAUAAGCUAGAAAUAGUACAGUAUGAUUUAGGAAAAGUUAAGGUUUAAAAUGGAUGCAUCUUUUCAUUUGCAGAGUAAUUUUCAUGUUAGGUUUUUCUUUAUACAGCAGUGCAGGUAAAAUUCUCUUUCUACAGAUUAUAGGUUUAUAUUAAUAUUUGUUCCGUUAGAGCUCAAUUGUGCAACCUCUACGCACAUUGAGUAGCAUGGAUGAGUAAAUCCACUCAACUUUAAUGGGACCAAACUCAAUGAGUAAGUCCUACUCAACAAUAAAAGUUGAAUUGAGGAUCCUAUAAAGUUCUUA